AGCGAACGCUGGCGGCAGGCCUAACACAUGCAAGUCGAACGAACCCUUCGGGGUUAGUGGCGGACGGGUGAGUAACACGUGGGCAACCUGCCUUAUAGAGGGGGAUAGCCUUCCGAAAGGAAGAUUAAUACCGCAUAACAUCAGAUUAUCGCAUGGUAGACUGAUCAAAGGAGCAAUCCGCUAUAAGAUGGGCCCGCGUCGCAUUAGCUAGUUGGUGAGGUAACGGCUCACCAAGGCGACGAUGCGUAGCCGACCUGAGAGGGUGAUCGGCCACAUUGGGACUGAGACACGGCCCAGACUCCUACGGGAGGCAGCAGUGGGGAAUAUUGCACAAUGGGGGAAACCCUGAUGCAGCAACGCCGCGUGAGUGAUGAAGGCCUUCGGGUUGUAAAGCUCUUUGAUCAGGGACGAUAAUGACGGUACCUGAAGAACAAGCCACGGCUAACUACGUGCCAGCAGCCGCGGUAAUAC
rnacentral:rRNA from 1 species